GUGGGUAUAGCUCAGUGGUAGUGUGUGUUUAGCAUGCACAAGGUCCUAGGUUCAAUCCCCAGUACCUCCA
rnacentral:tRNA from 1 species